UACGUAGGCAGCGAGCGUUGUUCGGAGUUACUGGGCGUAAAGGGUGCGCAGGCGGUAGUCCAAGUCUGUUGUGAAAUCUCCCGGCUUAACCGGGAGGGUGCGGCGGAAACUGGGCUGCUUGAGUACGGGAGAGGCAAGCGGAAUUCCUGGUGUAGCGGUGAAAUGCGUAGAUAUCAGGAGGAACACCCGUGGUGCAGACGGCUUGCUGGACCGUGACUGACGCUGAGGCACGAAAGCGUGGGGAGCAAACAGG
rnacentral:rRNA from 1 species